UACGUAGGGUGCAAGCGUUAAUCGGAAUUACUGGGCGUAAAGCGUGCGCAGGCGGUUUUGUAAGUCUGACGUGAAAGCCCCGGGCUUAACCUGGGAACUGCGUUUGAAACUGGGAGACUUGAGUGUGGCAGAGGGGGGUGGAAUUCCACGUGUAGCAGUGAAAUGCGUAGAUAUGUGGAGGAACACCGAUGGCGAAGGCAGCCCCCUGGGUUAACACUGACGCUCAUGCACGAAAGCGUGGGGAGCAAACAGG
rnacentral:rRNA from 1 species